AUUGAACGCUGGCGGAAUGCUUUACACAUGCAAGUCGAACGGUAGAGGGGGCAACCCCUCGAGAGUGGCGAACGGGUGAGUAAUAUAUCGGAACGUGCCCAGUCGGGGGGGAUAACGUAGCGCAAGUUACGCUAAUACCGCAUACGAUCUAAGGAUGAAAGCGGGGGGUCGAAAGCCCUCGCGCGAUUGGGGCGGCCGAUAUCAGAUUAGGUAGUUGGGGGGGUAAAGGCUCACCAAGCCAACGAUCUGUAGCUGGUCUGAGAGGACGACCAGCCACACUGGAACUGAGACACGGUCCAGACUCCUACGGGAGGCAGCAGUGGGGAAUUUUGGACAAUGGACGCAAGUCUGAUCCAGCCAUUCCGCGUGCAGGAUGAAGGCCCUCGGGUUGUAAACUGCUUUUGUACGGAACGAAAAGGUCUCUCUUAAUACGGGGGACUCAUGACGGUACCGUAAGAAUAAGCACCGGCUAACUACGUGCCAGCAGCCGCCGUAA
rnacentral:rRNA from 1 species